rnacentral:rRNA from 1 species
AGCGUGAAGGAUGACUGCCCUAUGGGUCGUAAACUUCUUUUAUAUUAGAAUAAAGUGCAGUAUGUAUACUGUUUUGUAUGUAUAAUAUGAAUAAGGAUCGGCUAACUCCGUGCCAGCAGCCGCGGUAAUACGGAGGAUCCGAGCGUUAUCCGGAUUUAUUGGGUUUAAAGGGAGCGUAGGUGGACUGGUAAGUCAGUUGUGAAAGUUUGCGGCUCAACCGUAAAAUUGCAGUUGAUACUGUCAGUCUUGAGUACAGUAGAGGUGGGCGGAAUUCGUGGUGUAGCGGUGAAAUGCUUAGAUAUCACGAAGAACUCCGAUUGCGAAGGCAGCUCACUGGACUGCAACUGACACUGAUGCUCGAAAGUGUGGGUAUCAAACAGGAUUAGAUACCCUGGUAGUCCACACAGUA